UACGGAGGGGGCAAGCGUUGUUCGGAAUUACUGGGCGUAAAGGGCGCGCAGGCGGCUGCUCAAGUCAGGCGUGAAAGGCCUGGGCUCAACCCGGGAAUUGCGCUUGAGACUGGGCUGGCUUGAGUGCGGGAGAGGAUGGUGGGAUUCCCAGUGUAGAGGUGAAAUGCGCAGAUAUCAGGAGGAACACCAAUUGCGAAGGCAGCUCGCUGGGACGUGACUGACGCUGAGACGCGAAAGCGUGGGGAGCAAACAGG
rnacentral:rRNA from 1 species